GUUGUAUUGCUCUAUGUGAGUAUGAUGACUGUUAAUCAUCACAGUUGAGUUAAAAUCUCAAAUAUGGCG
rnacentral:tRNA from 1 species